UAUAAUAACUCCGACCAAAAGGCGGAAUUAUUAAAAUGACCUAAAAAAAAUGUUUAUUGAAUAAAAAUCGAGGAGAAAAGUCAUCGUAAUUGAAGAAUAAAAGUAAAGAAUUUUUCUAACCAGCCGUGAAGUAAGCCACAUAAUACCGCCAAAAUUUACUCCAUGUUAUACGGCGAAAUCAUUGACAUUAGCUAGUAUUAUAAAUCUUUUAUUUUCUGAAAUUAUGAAUAAAUGUAGAAUAACGAAUGGAACGAAUGAAAUCCAAAAAUGUACUCAGAACGGGGAAGAACACGAAGAAUAUCAAUAUUUAAAUUUAAUAAAAAAAAUUAUAAAAGAAGGCACGAGAAAAGAUGAUCGUACAGGUGUAGGCACAUUGUCCAUUUUCGGGACACAGAUGCGAUUUAAUUUACGAGACAAUGUAUUCCCAUUGCUAACUACAAAGCGAGUAUUUUGGAGGGGCGUAGUGGAGGAGUUGUUAUGGUUUAUUAGAGGAUCGACAAAUGCCAAAGAAUUAAGUCAAAAGGAUGUCCACAUAUGGGAUGCAAACAGUUCACGUGAGUUCCUAGACUCUUGUGGCUUCACAAAUAGAAAAGAAGGAGAUUUAGGACCUGUUUAUGGAUUUCAAUGGAGACAUUAUGGUGCAAAGUACCAAAAUAUGGAUACAGAUUAUAGUGGACAAGGAAUAGAUCAGUUAAAACAGAUCAUAGAUAAGAUACAACAUUCUCCCAAUGAUAGACGAAUUAUAAUGUCAGCAUGGAACCCAGGCGACAUUUCAGAAAUGGCUCUACCUCCCUGUCACUGUCUUGUCCAAUUUUAUGUGAACAAUGGAGAGUUAUCAUGUCAACUUUAUCAAAGAAGCGCUGACAUGGGUCUUGGCGUACCAUUCAAUAUCGCAUCUUAUUCUUUGUUAACUUACAUGCUGGCACACAUUUCAAAUUUAAAGCCAGGUGAAUUUAUACAUACGAUGGGUGACUGUCACGUAUACCUCAAUCACAUAUCUGCACUCGAGGAACAAACAAAACGUGUGCCAAAACCAUUCCCAUAUUUAAAAAUCGUUAGGAACGUUGAAAACAUAGAAGAUUUCACAGCGGAUGAUAUCGAACUUAUCGGAUACAAUCCACACACAAAGUUAUCUAUGCCAAUGGCCGUUUAAAAACAAAAUUGAACACAAAGUACUGACACAAGCUUAUGUACACGUUUUUAUCUAGAACUCUAACAAGUAUAAACCGUAAUCAUUUCGCCACACUUUGCAUCACAGAAACAAUCAAGUAAAAGAAGAUUUUUCAAGUGGAUGUAACUGACAAGCAUGGACGGUAAAAGGCCUUGUGUAAGCAACUUUCAGAAUUUAACAAAAUUAUUUUACUUUUAUACAAUGUAGAGUACUAUCUUAAAUCAUAUAUAUAAUUAUCCAUUGAAAAUAUUAUUUUCUCGCGUGACUGUAGAAGGAAAUAAAAACGUUUCUAGUAUCUUUAAA